rnacentral:rRNA from 1 species
UGAGUAACUUGCCCUUAACUCUGGGAUAAGCCUGGGAAACUGGGUCUAAUACCGGAUAUGACUCCUCAUCGCAUGGUGGGGGGUGGAAAGCUUUAUUGUGGUUUUGGAUGGACUCGCGGCCUAUCAGCUUGUUGGUGAGGUAAUGGCUCACCAAGGCGACGACAGGUAGCCGGCCUGAGAGGGCGAUCGGCCACACUGGGACUGAGACACGGCCCAGACUCCGUACGG